GGUUCGAUGGCGUAGUUGGUUAUCGCAUCUGUCUAACAUUCUCGCUUUCCUAGGUGUGUGGCUGUUACACAGAAGGUCCCCAGUUCGAGCCUGGGUCGAAUCA